GGACCCGCACAAGCGGUGGAGCAUGUGGUUUAAUUCGAUGCAACGCGAAGAACCUUACCUGGGCUUGACAUGUAUAAGAACCUAUUAGAGAUAAUGGGGUGCUGGUUCGCCAGAGCUUUUACACAGGUGCUGCAUGGCUGUCGUCAGCUCGUGUCGUGAGAUGUUGGGUUAAGUCCCGCAACGAGCGCAACCCUUAUCCUUAGUUGCCAUCAUUUAGUUGGGGACUCUAGGGAGACUGCCAGCGUAAAAAGCUGGAGGAAGGUGGGGACGACGUCAAGUCAUCAUGGUCCUUAUGUCCAGGGCUACACACGUGCUACAAUGGUUGGUACAAAGAGGAGCUACGCAGUAAUGCCACGCAAAUCUCAUAAAGCCAAUCUCAGUUCGGAUUGAGGUCUGCAACUCGACCUCAUGAAGUCGGAAUCGCUAGUAAUCGUGCGUCAGAACAGCACGGUGAAUACGUUCCCGGGUCUU
rnacentral:rRNA from 1 species